UACGUAGGGGGCUAGCGUUGUCCGGAAUCAUUGGGCGUAAAGAGCGUGUAGGCGGCCCGGUAAGUCCGCUGUGAAAGUCGGGGGCUCAACCCUCGAAUGCCGGUGGAUACUGUCGGGCUAGAGUGCGGAAGAGGCGAGUGGAAUUCCUGGUGUAGCGGUGAAAUGCGCAGAUAUCAGGAGGAACACCAAUUGCGAAGGCAGCUCGCUGGGACGUAACUGACGCUGAGGAGCGAAAGUGUGGGGAGCGAACAGG
rnacentral:rRNA from 1 species